rnacentral:pre_miRNA from 1 species
CGCGAGACUCAGAGCCCAGUGUAGAUCCUGCCUCGUGCACACAGCAGCUACAUUUGACUACUGGGUCUCUGGUGCCAACC